rnacentral:misc_RNA from 1 species
AACACUGUUAACCUGCGGUACCUGCGGAGGGAUCAUUAUAAAAUUUUUACAUUUUAUUGUAAAAAAAAAUGUAUUCAAAACCCAUACUCUUAAAAUCAAAAAAAAAUUUUUUAUAUAAAAAUUUUUUUAAAUUAAAAAAUAAUAAAAAAAAGACAACUUUUAACAAUGGAUCU